GGCGACUGAAGCGGGAAGAGCCCAUGUUGCCAAACCUUCGGGUGUUGUGGCAUACGUGUCUUGUGGAACUCCAGGAGUAAGUCCCUUGGAAUAGGGUGCCAGAGAGGGUGACAGUCCCGUCUGCCUCUUGGGUGUUCCACUUGUAGACCGUGUAACGGAGUCGUGUUGCUUGGGAUUGCAGCACAAAGUUGGUGGUAAAUUCCAUCAAAGGCUAAAUACGGGUGGGAGACCGAUAGCGAACAAGUACUGUGAAGGAAAGAUGAAAAGAACUUUGAAAAGAGAGUUAAAGAGUGCCUGAAAUUGCUGAGAGGGAACCGAAGGUCAUCAGUGAUGGUUAUAUGCAUAUUGUCGAUAUUCUAUCUUGAAUGUUGGUUUGUGCAUGUAUUUGCCAACUCAUUGUUGUUAUUAAUCGAAGGAAAGUUUAUCGCUUUGGAUAAUACCAAGAAUGAGAAAAUGAUGCUCUUUAUCCCGUCUUGAAACACGGACCAAGGAGUCUAACACAAAUGCGAGUAUUGAGGUGACAAACCUCAGUGCGUAAUGAAAGUGAUGAUUGGAUGCUUCGGCUGCACCAUCGACCGACCACUUCGCUAAGGCGUCGAGGUUUGAGUGGGAGCAUUUGUGCUGGGACCCGAAAGAUGGUGAACUAUGCCUGAAUAGGGCGAAGCCAGGGGAAACUCUGGUGGAGGCUCGUAGGGGUUCUGACGUGCAAAUCGAUCUUCAAAUUUGGGUAUAGGGGCGAAAGACUAAUCGAACCAUCUAGUAGCUGGUUUUCUCCGAAAUUUCCCUCAGGAUAGCUGCAAUCGGUUGUCAGUUUUAUCAGGUAAAGCGAAUGAUUAGAGGCCUCAGGGGUGGAACGUCCUUGACCUAUUCUCAAACUUUAAAUGGGUAAGAGCCUUGUGUUGCUUGAUCGAACACAAGCGUUGAAUGACGGUUGUUAGUGGGCCAUUCCGGGUAAGCUGGACUGGCGAUGCGGGAUGAUCCGAACGUCGAGUUAAAGUGCCUCACUGCCCGCUCACCUAGAUCCCACAAAAGGUGUUGG
rnacentral:rRNA from 1 species